AGAGUUUGAUCCUGGCUCAGGAUGAACGCUAGCGGCAGGCUUAACACAUGCAAGUCGAGGGGCAGCAUAAUGGAUAGCAAUAUCUAUGGUGGCGACCGGCGCACGGGUGCGUAACGCGUAUGCAACCUACCUUUAACAGGGGGAUAACACUGAGAAAUUGGUACUAAUACCCCAUAAUAUCAUAGAAGGCAUCUUUUAUGGUUGAAAAUUCCGAUGGUUAGAGAUGGGCAUGCGUUGUAUUAGCUAGUUGGUGGGGUAACGGCUCACCAAGGCGACGAUACAUAGGGGGACUGAGAGGUUAACCCCCCACACUGGUACUGAGACACGGACCAGACUCCUACGGGAGGCAGCAGUGAGGAAUAUUGGUCAAUGGACGCAAGUCUGAACCAGCCAUGCCGCGUGCAGGAUGACGGCUCUAUGAGUUGUAAACUGCUUUUGUACGAGGGUAAACGCAGAUACGUGUAUCUGUCUGAAAGUAUCGUACGAAUAAGGAUCGGCUAACUCCGUGCCAGCAGCCGCGGUAAUACGGAGGAUUCAAGCGUUAUCCGGAUUUAUUGGGUUUAAAGGGUGCGUAGGCGGUUUGAUAAGUUAGAGGUGAAAUUUCGGGGCUCAACCCUGAACGUGCCUCUAAUACUGUUGAGCUAGAGAGUAGUUGCGGUAGGCGGAAUGUAUGGUGUAGCGGUGAAAUGCUUAGAGAUCAUACAGAACACCGAUUGCGAAGGCAGCUUACCAAACUAUAUCUGACGUUGAGGCACGAAAGCGUGGGGAGCAAACAGGAUUAGAUACCCUGGUAGUCCACGCAGUAAACGAUGAUAACUCGUUGUCGGCGAUACACAGUCGGUGACUAAGCGAAAGCGAUAAGUUAUCCACCUGGGGAGUACGUUCGCAAGAAUGAAACUCAAAGGAAUUGACG
rnacentral:rRNA from 1 species